AGAAAAAGAUGUGUGAAAAUGAUUCCAGUUUAACCUAAGGGUACAUGUCUUGAAGGCAAGAACAGUGCUACCUAUUCCUUUUCCUGUUUGGCUUCAGCCCUUUGGUUGGAAUGUCUUCCAUAGCUUUGCUCUUAUUGUUUUAAUCUUUGUUUUGUUCAUUUCAGUGAGUUUUGCAAAGAAUCUGCCCUCUGUGGGGCUAAGGGGUAUGCGGAGGGAUCAGUAUGGUCAUCUAUGAGGACAAAGUGUCAACCAGGCAAGUGUGUAGAGUAGUAUUUUAAAAUACUAAAAGAAGGAAAGGCGAAGUUACAUGAAUUGUUUGCAGUUGUCAGUUAAUUGACUUGGCAAGAUCAGUAUUGGUACAAUUUAACAUGAUGUUACUUUCACAGACUUUUACAGGUCUUUCCUGAACAUGAAACACUUGGGCUAGGUCUUCAUCCUCACCUGCACUGGAAUUGCCUAUUCAUUUUUUUAAAUUAGUGACACACAAAGAAGCAUUUACAUAUGUACUUGUGAUUGCUGGAAUCCUGAAAACUGCAGUUUGGCUUUUAAAUUCUGGUUUAAUUCAAAUAGUAUUGUUACUUGUAUUCGCUUAAAUAAAAAAUAGAAAGUCUUUCAUUUCAAACUUUUCUCAGCGACAACGAGGUAAGUAAAAAUAUUUGUGUUAGGGCAUCUGUGGAUUUAAAAAGUCUGUUGUGAACCAUUAUAUUUUAUUUUUCAAGUUCAAACAUGUCUCAGAAAUGAAACCUAGUGUCAUAAUGUUCAUGUUGAUUAGUUACCUACUUGAAAAAGUGUUUAAUAAGAUUUUUUUCCAGAUAAUUAUUAUUUACUCUUUGUUCACGCUGUAUACUUCACCUUGUGUAGUUUGUUAUAGAACCACAGGAUAGCAGUUCACAUCUAGUUGUUGCUUAUUUUGUUUUUCAACUGUAUUUGUUCCUACUACGGGUUCAUUUACAUAUAGAAGCCUCCUGUUUUUAAACAAAAAAAAAAAAAAGCACUUUAUCCUGUCUGGAGGCUCUCUGCUGAGAGUUACUUUCUGGCUGCUGGGGAACUUGAUGCCCUGAAUAUUACUCCUUCACUAGAAGUCAGUAGUUGUGGGGUAAAAAAAAUCCAUAAUCUUUAACAUUUCUCUUUCUCAAUUAUUUGUGUCUCAUUUUAGAAAUUAUGUACUUUUAUGCUGGAAACACUAUUUGGAUAUAUGCAGAUGAUUCUGAAAGUAGAUGUAGUCUGGAGGAUGUAUAUGUACAUUCAUAUACAGACACAGAUUAAAACAGUCCAACUGAUACUCCAUUAAAGCUUUUCAUCAAAUUCACUUCAUCCAAUUAUUGUCUGCCUAAGUUAUGUAUGGAAAUUUAUACUCGGUAGAUUCUUAAAUACUAUUGACUAAAUUGGAUUUCACAGGAAAUGUAUUUUUAAGGAAUUUUUUUUUGGGGGGGGGAUUUUUCAUUCCUUAAAAACAAUGCUGGCACACAG
rnacentral:lncRNA from 1 species